UUUGAGGGGAAUGUUGUCUGGCUCGAGGACACUUUCUUUUAAUCCAUUUUCUUGCAUUAGUUUGCUCCUAUGGAUCUGAUUAUGGUUUUAAUGGAUUGAGCUUGUGCUAGUGCCGUCGGACCAGGCUUCAUUCCCCCCAAU
rnacentral:pre_miRNA from 2 species